rnacentral:rRNA from 1 species
AGAACGAACGCUGGCGGCAGGCUUAACACAUGCAAGUCGAGCGAAGGCCCCGAUUUCGGUUGGUGCCUUAGCGGCGGACGGGUGAGUAACGCGUGGGAACGUGCCCUGGGGUGCGGAACAACAGCUGGAAACGGCUGCUAAUACCGCAUGAUGUCUACGGACCAAAGAUUUAUUGCCCUGGGAUCGGCCCGCGUCGGAUUAGGUAGUUGGUGGGGUAACGGCCCACCAAGCCGACGAUCCGUAGCUGGUUUGAGAGGAUGAUCAGCCACACUGGGACUGAGACACGGCCCAGACUCCUACGGGAGGCAGCAGUGGGAAUCUUGGACAAUGGGGGCAACCCUGAUCCAGCCAUGCCGCGUGAGCGAUGAAGGCCCCAGGGUUGUAAAGCUCUUUCACCCGUGAAGAUAAUGACGGUAGCGGGAGAAGAAGCCCCGGCUAACUCCGUGCCAGCAGCCGC